rnacentral:rRNA from 1 species
CGCGGCCUAUCAGCUUGUUGGUGGGGUGAUGGCCUACCAAGGCGACGACGGGUAGCCGGCCUGAGAGGGCGACCGGCCACACUGGGACUGAGACACGGCCCAGACUCCUACGGGAGGCAGCAGUGGGGAAUAUUGCACAAUGGGCGGAAGCCUGAUGCAGCGACGCCGCGUGAGGGAUGACGGCCUUCGGGUUGUAAACCUCUUUCAGCAGGGACGAAGCGUAAGUGACGGUACCUGCAGAAGAAGCGCCGGCCAACUACGUGCCAGCAGCCGCGGUAAGACGUAGGGCGCGAGCGUUGUCCGGAUUUAUUGGGCGUAAAGAGCUCGUAGGCGGCUUGUCGCGUCGACUGUGAAAACCCGUGGCUCAACUGCGGGCCUGCAGUCGAUACGGGCAGGCUAGAGUUCGGUAGGGGAGACUGGAAUUCCUGGUGUAGCGGUGAAAUGCGCAGAUAUCAGGAGGAACACCGGUGGCGAAGGCGGGUCUCUGGGCCGAUACUGACGCUGAGGAGCGAAAGCGUGGGGAGCGAACAGGAUUAGAUACCCUGGUAGUCCACGCUGUAAACGUUGGGCGCUAGGUGUGGGGGGCCUCUCCGGUUCUCUGUGCCGCAGCUAACGCAUUAAGCGCCCCGCCUGGGGAGUACGGA